AGAAAUCUUACAGGCAAAGGCUAUUCGACAUUUGGGAUUCCUAAGCUAAUCUUUUUAUUUUUGGAAGGGUGUCUUUCUGAGAAAGGCAGCCAGAGGCACAGCACCAACCUUUCUGACAGUGUGGUCUUCACACUGUUAGUUCUGACAAAGGGAGUCAAGGAGUCGUCCUUGGAGGAGGCGAUGAGGCCAGUGGAAGAAUUGUGGCUGGGGACCCCUCCACUGCUGAGGGAGAUGUCGAUGGACUCACAGCUGGUGUGGAGGCUGCUGAUAGACUGAAAGCCCAGGCCAUCCUUGCUAACUGCGGAGGAGCUGCUGGCGUUGGUGCCCCAGGGCCAAGACAGCCCCAGCCUCUUACCAGUUCCUGGGGUCUUCAGUGCGCCUGCCGGGGCUGAAGGCUUCGUCCUUGGCAUGGUGAUGCCCACCUGAGCUGUCAUGCCUCGCCGCCAUGAGCCUGUCUGGGAGAUGACAGGAUUCUUCUUGCCCGACGUGCUUUUGUCGGACUCGUCAGACACAUCAGAAGGAUUCCGCCUCCACUUGGAACCUGGCUCCAUUUUUAUGCCGCUGUCUGAGCCUCCGUCUGAUUUCUUGACAUCAUCACCAGACCACAGGGAAUUCCUCUCCACCUGUGAGUGCUUCUCAGCAUCAGUCUAUGGACAGAGACUCUCUGAAUUAGUCCUUCCCCAAUCCCAGGCUGGGAAGCCCCUCACUCCAAAGGCAAAAAUGCCAAAACACUGGAGUAGUUAAGGGAAAAAUAAUCAUUACUUUAAAGAUGUUUGGACUUU
rnacentral:antisense_RNA from 1 species